rnacentral:rRNA from 1 species
CUGGGCCUACGGGACGCAGCAGUGAGGAAUACUGGUCAAUGGGCGGAAGCCUGAACCAGCCAAGUCGCGUGAGGGAAUAAGGCCCUACGGGUCGUAAACCUCUUUUGCCGGGGAGCAAGGGCCGGGACGAGUCCCGGUCCGGAGAGUACCCGGAGAAAAAGCAUCGGCUAACUCCGUGCCAGCAGCCGCGGUAAUACGGAGGAUGCGAGCGUUAUCCGGAUUUAUUGGGUUUAAAGGGUGCGUAGGCGGGCUUUUAAGUCAGCGGUAAAAAUUCGGGGCUCACACCCGUCCGGCCG